UACGUAGGUGGCAAGCGUUAUCCGGAAUUAUUGGGCGUAAAGGGUGCGUAGGCGGCCUGACAAGUCUGAUGUGAAAUCCCUGGGCUCAACCCAGGGCCUGCAUCGGAAACUGUCGGGCUUGAGUAUGGGAGAGGUGAGUGGAAUUUCCGGUGUAGCGGUGAAAUGCGUAGAUAUCGGAAGGAACACCUGUGGCGAAAGCGGCUCACUGGACCAUUACUGACGCUGAGGCACGAAAGCUAGGGGAGCAAACAGG
rnacentral:rRNA from 1 species